GGAGAGGUACCCGAGUGGCCAAAGGGAGCAGACUGUAAAUCUGCCGGCUUUACGCCUUCGGAGGUUCGAAUCCUCCCCUCUCCACCA
rnacentral:tRNA from 1 species